UGGGCACUGAGCCUGCCACACACAGCUGCUCCGGAAAUGCCUGUGAAUACGGAAAGGAUUAUCACCAGAUGAUCCGGGAUAAUCUCAGCACCUCAAGGUCCACAGCCGUAAUCACAUCCGCGAAGUGCCUUUGCCAAGUAAGGUGAUACAACCACGGUGCGGGGAAUGAGGACAGGGAAGGAGAGGUGAGAGGAGCAUUAUGCUGCCUAGCCCACUCAGGCUCAGAAACAGAGAGGUGCGUUGACUGCCCCACCUCUCCCAGCUGCGGCUGCUGAAGCUGGUUUGAUGCCAAGUCUUUCAGGCUGCAGAAUCUGAGCUUUCUCCCUUGCGGCCAGUGUAAACAUCCGGAGUUUCCAGAUCCCUUCCCAGGAGCCUGCAGAGAAGAACACACCAGAUUCUAGAGAUGAAGAUGUAUUUGUAUUCACCAGACCAUCUGAUGAUGUUUCACUUCUGUUUCUCAACACCUCCUUGACUAUUCUGUCCCCUAGAGGAGAGAGAAGGUCUGGGAAAAUCUUUGCCUGAAACUAAGAAGCACAAUCUAUCCUCCAAAAGUUGAAAAAAUUGGGCUACGAAGUUUUGCCUCAUCUGCCAUAUUCAUGUGACCUCUUGCCAAGCAACUACCAUUCUUCAAGUAUCUCGGCAACUUUUAGAGGGAAAACACUUCCACAACCUGCUAGAUGCCAAAGGUGCUUUUCCUAAAGCUCAUCAAAUCUGGAAGCAUGGGUGUUUACGCUACAAGAAUAAACAAACUUAUUUCUCAUCAUUGACAAAAUAUGUUGAUUUUAAUGGUUCCUAAUUUGAUUAAUAAAGAUAUGU